UACGGAGGGUGCAAGCGUUAUCCGGAUUCACUGGGUUUAAAGGGUGCGUAGGAGGACUGGUAAGUCAGUGGUGAAAUCCCCGAGCUUAACUUGGGAAUUGCGCUUGUGACUGGCGUGCUGGAGUGUGGCAGAGGGAGGUGGAAUUCCACGUGUAGCAGUGAAAUGCGUAGAGAUGUGGAGGAACACCGAUGGCGAAGGCAGCCUCCUGGGCCAGCACUGACGCUCAUGCACGAAAGCGUGGGGAGCAAACAGG
rnacentral:rRNA from 1 species